CUGAUAAUUUUUAAACAUCAGUAAUCCAAAAGAAAGCAAGAAAGGCGUAAAGAACAUAAAACAUAUGAGUCAAAUGGAAAGUGUGAAAAGACAUCUUUACAUGUAAAAAUAUCAGUACUUUGCAUAAAUGUACCAAAUGAUCUAGCUCUUAAAUUUUGCUGUACAUCGUCAAAUUACCUGCAGAUCUUAAAAAACAACAAUAACGAAACACCAAUGCAUGGUUCCCAUUCCUGUCAGAUUUAUGGAUGUGAGGUAUGAACAGGGCAUUGGGACUUUUAAAAGCUUUCCAGAUCAUUCUAAAGUGCAGCAAAUUUGGGAGCCACCACUCUCAUUCAAGAUAAAGAUUAUCAAAUUGGAUUUAAAAAAAAAUACUUGGCCAGGUCCGGUGGCUCAUGCCUGUAAUCUCAGCACUUUGGGAAGCCAGGUAAACUCAGGAGAUUGACACUAGCCUGGGCAAAAUGGUGAAACCCCAUGUCCACAAAAAAUUAGCUAGGCAUAGUGGUGAGCACCUACAGUCCCAGCUACUUGGGGUGCUGAGGUGGGAGGAUCACUUGAGCCGGGGAGGCAGAGAGUGCAGUAGGCAGAGACAGCGUCACCGCAUUCCAGCCGGGGCAACAGAGCCUGACCCUGUCUUAAAAACAAACAAACAAACAAACAUCAUACACACACACUUCUUUUUUUGAGACGGAGUCUCGCUCUGUCGCUUUCCCCGGGCUCGGCCGGCCUCUCCACCCGGCGCUCGGGUGCUGCGCUGCCUGUUCCUGUUGCCACUUCGUGUAAGUUAGCGCAGGCAACAACACACAAGACCAGCACACGUGAAAUGGUCCAUUUUAAUGCACUGCCCCCAGGGAAAGGAACAUUACCGGCUUCUGGCCAUGUCGUCUUCCCAGUCCCAGAUGGCGGUUCCGGGUUUGGGCUCCGAGGCCCUUCGCAG
rnacentral:lncRNA from 10 species